rnacentral:misc_RNA from 1 species
AUCAUAAAUAAUAUGCAUGAGUUAUUUAAAAAAAAAAUGCCAGAAUUACAAUGUCCAAUAACUCAUGAACAAGCUUAAAAUGCAGCUGCAUUUUUUUUUUUGUUCCCUCAAAACUAUUGCCUCAAAAUUCCAUAGGCACAUCUUCAUAACUUUACUCCUGAAUAUCUCACAAAGGAAAACAAAGAAACAACCAAGCAGCAGAAUUGGUGCCCAAGAACAAAUAUAACAAUUAUACAUCAAAUGACUUGGUUGUAGGUAGCAAUAGGACAUUCCUAUUUGACAAGAAAACAG